rnacentral:lncRNA from 1 species
GGUAAAAUUAUGUCUAUCUUGUUUUAAUCUCAUUUUCUCUUGAAUACACUUGCUAGUAAGGUCAUUUAUGUUCAACUGCUCAUUAUUAGUGUUAUAGUGAAUUUUGAAUGGAGCAAAUUGCGAAGGAAGUGAGUUUAGGACAAAUUGAACAAGAAUGACUCAUCCAUGUUCAUGUCCAAUGCCUUAAGUAUUGCAGCAUUUUCAACCAUGUUCAAAAUGUGUUGUUGAAU